rnacentral:rRNA from 1 species
GACAGAGGGUGCAAACGUUGUUCGGAAUUACUGGGCGUAGAGCGUGCGCAGGCGGCUGCUCAAGUCAGGGGUGAAAGCCCAGAGCUCAACUCUGGAAUUGCCUUUGAGACUGAGUGGCUUGAGUACGGGAGAGGUGAGUGGAAUUCCCAGUGUAGAGGUGAAAUUCGUAGAUAUUGGGAAGAACACCGGUGGCGAAGGCGGCUCACUGGCCCGUAACUGACGCUCAUGCACGACAGCGUGGGGAUCAAACAGG